AGGACAGUGGAACUCCAUGUGUAGCGGUGGAAUGCGUAGAUAUAUGGAAGAACACCAGUGGCGAAGGCGGCUGUCUAGUCUGUAACUGACGCUGAGGCUCGAAAGCAUGGGUAGCGAACAGGAUUAGAUACCCUGGUAGUCCAUGCCGUAAACGAUGAGUGCUAAGUGUUGGAGGGUUUCCCCCUUCAGUGCUGCAGCUAACGCAUUAAGCACUCCGCCUGGGGAGUACGACCGCAAGGUUGAAACUCAAAGGAAUUGACGGGGGCCCGCACAAGCGGUGGAGCAUGUGGUUUAAUUCGAAGCUACGCGAAGAACCUUACCAGGUCUUGACAUCUUCUGCCAAUCUUAGAGAUAAGACGUUCCCUUCGGGGACAGAAUGACAGGUGGUGCAUGGUUGUCGUCAGCUCGUGUCGUGAGAUGUUGGGUUAAGUCCCGCAACGAGCGCAACCCUUAUUAUCAGUUGCCAGCAUUCAGUUGGGCACUCUGGUGAGACUGCCGGUGACAAACCGGAGGAAGGUGGGGAUGACGUCAAAUCAUCAUGCCCCUUAUGACCUGGGCUACACACGUGCUACAAUGGACGGUACAACGAGUCGCGAAGUCGUGAGGCUAAGCUAAUCUCUUAAAGCCGUUCUCAGUUCGGAUUGUAGGCUGCAACUCGCCUACAUGAAGUUGGAAUCGCUAGUAAUCGCGGAUCAGCAUGCCGCGGUGAAUACGUUCCCGGGCCUUGUACACACCGCCCGUCACACCAUGAGAGUUUGUAACACCCAAAGCCGGUGAGAUAACCUUCGGGAGUCAGCCGUCUAAGGUGGGACAGAUGAUUAGGGUGAAGUCGUAACAAGGUAACCAAGGGCGAAUCG
rnacentral:rRNA from 1 species